UAGGGAAUCUUCGGCAAUGGACGGAAGUCUGACCGAGCAACGCCGCGUGAGUGAAGAAGGUUUUCGGAUCGUAAAGCUCUGUUGUUAGAGAAGAACGUUGGUAGGAGUGGAAAAUCUACCAAGUGACGGUAACUAACCAGAAAGGGACGGCUAACUACGUGCCAGCAGCCGCGGUAAUACGUAGGUCCCGAGCGUUGUCCGGAUUUAUUGGGCGUAAAGCGCGCGCAGGCGGUUCUUUAAGUCUGAAGUUAAAGGCAGUGGCUUAACCAUUGUACGCUUUGGAAACUGGAGGACUUGAGUGCAGAAGGGGAGAGUGGAAUUCCAUGUGUAGCGUUGAAAUGCUUAGAUAUAUGGAGGAACACCGGUGGCGAAAGCGGCUCUCUGGUCUGUAACUGCCGCUGAGGCUCGAAAGCGUGGGGAGCAAACAGG
rnacentral:rRNA from 1 species